rnacentral:rRNA from 1 species
AAGGGCACCACAAGAACGCGUGGAGCAUGUGGCUUAAUUUGACUCAACGCAGGAAAUCUUACCGGGUCCGGACACACUGAGGAUUGACAGGUGUUAACUCACUCUUCACGAGUGAGUAUAAAUAUGCUAGUCCUUUCAUGAUUAUGUGAUAGGUGGUGCAUGGCCGUUCUUAGUUCGUGGAGUGAUCUGUCUGCUUAAUUGCGUAUCACUAAACGUGCAACACGUAUAUGUGUGUGUGUGUCGAUAUAAUAUAUUUAUAUAUUUUAUUGACCCUCAUACAUAUUAUGCGCGUUGAUAGCAACGAACGUGACCGUAACCUCUUGUUGCCUUUUUACACACGCACAGUGUCGUUUCCCUCACUGUGCGUCAAAAAGUGCUUAACUAGAGGGACCGCUGUUUCCUUUUUUAAACCAGAGGAAGGUUACGGCAAUAACAGGUCUGUGAUGCCCUUAGAUGUUCCGGGCCGCACACGUGCUACAAUGAUUAUUGCAGUGAGCAUCUCGAUUUAGAUAAUAUUGUCGCGCAUAAUCCGUAUAUAGAAAUAUAUGCGUGUAUUAUGCGCGUACAAUACUGCCUGCUUCGAAAGUUCGCGGGUAAUCAAUUAGCAACAAUGAUUUCCGUAUUAAGCACACAUAUAUGUGAUGGUAUUACCCAGUAUAUUCUCGUAGUAUACUUGUGCGUAUUAUCACUCGCAUGUGCAAUUGUCAAUUCAUGGUGGGGACAGACUAUUGUUAAUUUUUAGUCUCGGUCUCACUAGGAAUGCCUUGUACUGGUUUAAGUUCAUCAAACUACCAGGAAUACGUCCCUGCCCUUUGUACACACCGCCCGUCGCUCUUACCGAUGAACUAUACUGUGAGUUUAUUGGACCACAUACGUGAAUUUAUUUUUACGCGUGAGGAAAAAUAAACGAACAGUGUGGUUUAAAGGAAAGAGAAGUCGAACAAGGC